GGGUGGAAUUUAUGGCCCUAGAUAUGAAGCUUGGAGAUGACUGAAGUGAUAGAUGACUCCAAGGAUAAUCAAUAGCCAUGAGAGUUAUGGCUUAUUGAAAGCUUACUAUUUCUUGGGAGAGUGCAAUGUUAUCAUCUCCUUAAAUUCUACUGCAAGUCGUCAGGUUUCUGCAGCUGGGAUUUAAGCCCAAUUCUGCCUGAAGCCAAAACUUGUGUUCUCUUUCACUGUUGUCUCCUAAGACAAUUGGUUGUGAGGUAGAAAAAGAACUGGAUAAUCCUCAAAAUGGAAAAUUAAAAAGAUGAAACUAAAUUGGGGUCAUGGGUUGAGACAAUACAGUGAGAGACACUGGAAUUGGAAGAAAUGAGGCAUGAGGCCAGAGUGGAGCUCCCUUAGGACAAUGCUUUUGGCUUCUGGAGCCUUUAUUACAAUGAGGCAGCUCAGGACUUACAGUGUUCAUCUGAGUGCCGGGAAUCGUACUGUCAUGGUGCUUCUCAUGGCUUUUUCAUCUUGCUUUGUGUUAUAGGGCUUUGGGUUCACAAGCUCUCUGAAGGAGCUGACUGUGAAGGCAAGGACUGUGUCUAUGCCUUUUUUAAGGAGACGCACAGUUUGUCUUAACCAAGUGGACACAUGAGAGGCACAGAGAGGGGUGCACCUCAGUCUACCCAAGGAUAUGGAGUGGGGGCUUUAUGGAGACCUGAGGGGCCCAGGCACAGAAAAGAGACAAAGUGAGGGAACACUUGAGGCAGAUGGCAGGGCACAUGCUUAGGGAGGAAAGCUUGGAAAGGCACAGGCAGAGUGUUUAAGGAUGUGCCCAGCAUGUAAUCUAGAGAAAGCAGUCAGAGGAAAUGAGACUGGAGAGGCAGCUCGAGGCAGGGCAUAUAUGUGAAAGUCACUCGCACCCCCUCUUAUCAUAUGACUCCAGGCAGUCCUCCAACCCGUCCUCCAACCCACCCACUCGAGCUUCCUGCCUUCUGACAGGUUUCCUUAUUUCUGAGCCUCUCGUAACAGGCCCAGUAUAUCCUUCCUUGCUCAUGUAAAGAAUUCCACUCAUCUUUCAAGACAUUUUAAACAGAAGUCCUGUGAGGCCUGCCUUGAGACACUCACACUCAAUUUACUUUCUUCAGAAGUGUCUUUUCUACUUCUCUGUUCUAGCACAGCCACAAUGUUUCAUCUGUUUCCCCUACUAUUGUGAGGGCUUCUUCCACAAGAAGAAUUUUGUCUUCUCUUUGCACCCCCAUUACCAGCACAUAGUAAGCGCUCAGCACAUUUGAUAAUGGAAUGGCUCUGAUUUUACAUUCCUGUAUUUUUCCGGCAGAUAGUGAGUAGUCAGCGGGGACUCAUGCAUGACUCUGGGAAAAGUAGAGGGUAAUUUUUUUAUUUGCUUUUCGAGGGCUGAUCAGGGCUCCUUAUUUUUAUGGCGGCCAGCAUCCUGCUCACCCUGACUCCCUCCAGCUUCUGGUACCUGCAUAUCCAGGCUAUGUUAAUUUCCCUGCAUUUUUCCUCUUUGUCACUUUUUCUUUUUUUUCUUCAAAGAGCGUCGCAAUCUCUCAGGAGUUUGAUUAUAUUGCAAGAUGAAUAGGAUAUUUGAAUUAUGCUAUUUAAAUGAGUCAUCUCAACCCUAGUGUAAUUGUUCACCCCCUGUCACACUAAACGUGACCUACAUUUUUAAAAGAGUGCUUUUGGCCUGAAUAGAGGAUUGCUGAAAUUGUUGGGUUCCAGUUCUCAGCAAUUUAUCAUUUGUUAUCACCGAGUGUGUCUUUUGUUUCACAUCUGGGCAGAUGUGAACUUUUAAAACUGUCUCUCACUAGACCUAUCAAAAGAAGCUGCUUUUAUUUGCAAAAAGAAGGUGAACUGAUUUCCUGGGUGUUUAUGUGUGUGUGGUAUGUGGAGGGGCACAGAGGAGCAGCAGAGUUCAUUAAACAGAAGAUGUCUGGUCUUGGCUAAGCAGUUUAAAAACAUAUAGGAGUACUUAUGCUGAAUUGAUUCACAUUUUGGUUCUGUGGCCUGAAACUUGCUUGUUUCACCCUUCUUUUUUGAGAGUUUUGGUUGCUCUAAAACUAAGCCUGUAUUAAUGCUCUUGAGAUGGAUCAACUGGGGAGCCCUGUCAUGCCUUACCAUUUUUUCAUCUUGGAGUCAAGCUGCAGGACAGGAUUCUUAUACUGCCCAAAUGAUUGGAGGCACAUUUCCCUCCAUUGUCCAUUUCUUUGACAGGCUGUGAAACAUAACUAACUCCAAAGCCACCUAUCAAAGUUCAUGAAGGUUUUAGUUAGGAACUGGUGGUUUUGUUGUUACAGAUACUUCAGUUAUUCAGACUGUGAAUUUGAGUCACAGCCUACUAGGCAAGGCCCAUACUGAGAUACAAAGGAACUGAACUUUCUAAAUUAGAGGUGAGCAGCAUUUCUGAAGUGAUAGAUAAGGUCCUUGUACUACAUUCAUUCAGCAGAUAUUGAUUGUGUGCCCAUGAAUCAGGCAUAUGUGUAGGGCGUUAAUACAAAAGAAACUGGCCCCUACCCUCAAGAAGUUCACAGUCUAGUGAGGUUGACAGGCAUGCAGAUGAUAACAUAAUGGAGGCAUGCAAGAAAUGCUGUGGAAAAUUAAGACAGCACAGUCUGCCUGAGGAGAGUGGUCAACGUUUAAUAGAGGAGGAUGUGCUUGUGUUGGAACUUGUAGGAUGAGUAAUGGUGAAGGCAAAGGCUACUGUGGCUAGAGUCUAGUGCACGAUGAUGGAGAUGAGGUGGUCAGAACACGAGGGUUCUUGUAUGUCAAAGUAUGCUAGUUUUACACCAUACAUUUAUUAUUAUGAAUUCAGCUGCGAGGAACAGAAAUCUGCAAUUCAACUGGCUUAAACACUGAGGAAAAUUUAUUAGCACAUGUAAUAUGUUCAAAGGCAGUUCCAGGAUGACUGAAUUCAGUGGCUCGACUCUGUCAUUAAGGACUUAGGUUCUUUCCAUUUUUUUUGCUCUGCCAUCCUUGGUAUGAUGGUUUGCUCUCAGACUUGCUCUUCUCCUGAUCGCAAGGUGACCAAAGAGGAAGAGAGAUUUGUUUCUUUGUUUUUGAGGUUUGUUGGUGUUUGUUUUGUCUUGAUUUGUGUCUUUUCAAUCAGUAAGGAAAAUCUUUCCUAAGGAGCUCUCCUGCCACUCCCAUCAGACUCAUCCUCAUGCCUCAGUGGCCAAAAGUGCAUCACGUGCCCAAUCCUAAACCAUUCACUGGCAAGGGGAAUGCAACCACCAUUACUGGCUCAGACCAAUCUUGAUUCACUCCCUGGAAGAACUGUCCCACUUCUUCUGGAUUAUAUGGCCCAGGUAGAGGAUACUGGAACAAAAUUGGGUUUCCGAUAGAGAGUAGGAGAAAGGGAGACAAUUGAUUGCUGAGUUGGCAACCAACAGCAUUUGCUAUGGUAGAUGAUGAGAAACCAGUAUAGAUAAUUGAGCAGGAGUGGCAUGAUCAGUUAUGUUUAAAAAAAGUCCUAUCAGAAAUGUAGAGUUGAGCUUAAUAGACAGAAAAAUUGAGAACACAUGGAAUAGUCUUGUGAGCAGCCAAGGAACUGAUCAACACACAUGUGGAACUGGAGCUGAAACUUUUCUGGAGUC
rnacentral:lncRNA from 1 species